UCCGUAGGUGAACCUGCGGAAGGAUCAUUAAAAAACUUACCAAAACACUGUUUUAGAUUUAUAAAACCCACCAGUUAAGUUCAAUUAAACAAAAUAUAAAACUUUCAACAACGGAUCUCUUGGUUCUCGCAUCGAUGAAGAACGCAGCGAAAUGCGAUACGUAGUAUGACUUGCAGACGUGAAUCAUCGAAUCUUUGAACGCACAUUGCGCCUUGGGGCAUUCUCCAAGGCAUGCCUGUUUGAGCGUGAUUUCUUCUCACCGCCCAGGUGGUUUUGCAUCCGCUAAAUAACAUAUCCGCAGCGAAGUCUACGCUUUCACUGCACCAUGCUAUUUCCUCAAAUCAGGUAGGACUACCCGCUGAACUUAAGCAUAUCAAUAAGCGGAGGAAAAG
rnacentral:rRNA from 1 species